rnacentral:rRNA from 1 species
UACGGAGGAUGCGAGCGAUAUCCGGAUUUAUUGGGUUUAAAGGGUGCGUAGGCGGGCUGUUAAGUCAGCGGUAAAAGCCCGGGGCUCAACCCCGUCGUGCCGUUGAAACUGGCGUUCUUGAGUGAGCGAGAAGUAUGCGGAAUGCGUGGUGUAGCGGUGAAAUGCAUAGAUAUCACGCAGAACUCCGAUUGCGAAGGCAGCAUACCGGCGGCGAUCUGACGCUGAGGCACGAAAGCGUGGGUAUCGAACAGG